GCUAGCGUAGCUCAGUUGGUAGAGCAGCUCAUUCGUAAUGAGCAGGUCACCGGUUCGAAUCCGAUCGCUAGCU
rnacentral:tRNA from 1 species